UACGUAGGGUGCAGGCGUUAAUCGGAAUUACUGGGCGUAAAGCGUGCGCAGGCGGUUUGUUAAGACAGAUGUGAAAUCCCCGGGCUUAACCUGGGAACCGCAUUUGUGACUGCAUAGCUGGAGUACGGCAGAGGGGGAUGGAAUUCCGCGUGUAGCAGUGAAAUGCGUAGAUAUGCGGAGGAACACCGAUGGCGAAGGCAGUCCCCUGGGCCUGUACUGACGCUCAUGCACGAAAGCGUGGGGAGCAAACAGG
rnacentral:rRNA from 1 species